CCCCACCUCCCACGAGCCCACGAACAGUUUCAGCUCGCCUCUCUCCUCUCGCAUCGCCCCUCUCUGCCGUCGCCUCCACUCUCCCGCCCCAUCGCGCGCUGUCGUCGCCCUCCGCCUGCGCUCGCCGUUGCCAGUUCCGGCCGAUUCACCGGUUCCGUGUCCCCCCGCGAAGGCCCGAGACCCGCCACUUGCCCUCGCCCCGUCGGGAGAGGUCGCAGUAGCGCAGUUCGAGGAGGUCCACCGCCACCGCACCGCUCCCCCUCCCUCGCAAACGCGCCGACGGUUCCCUGCGACCUCCUCCGAUCCUCCGCCUCCGGGCCCCUGACUUCCCGCGCCGCGGCGCCACUCCUACGCACGCCCGCUCGCGCUGCCACGGCUCCGUCCGCCGCCUCGACUGCCAUGCGGCCAUGCCCGCUCACCCUUGGCGGUCUUGGGGGCACCACCUAGCUGUUCCCCGUGCCGCGUCGCCUCUGUUUCCGCUCGGGCGCUUCCCGCCUAGCUGCAGUGGGAGGAAAGCGAUGAGGAACGAGGGGGAGGAGACGGGCCAGUACUUCACCGCCUCCGAGAUGGGUAAGGACACCGCUGCCGAUGGGUACACGAAGGCCAUGGAGGUAGGCCCGUUCACUGCUGCGUGCUGAGGCCCUGAUAUUCAAUCCCAUCGACACCUUGCUGGAGCCUGUAGGACACCUGCAGGCCGAGGCAAGGCUGGGCCAUGGCUGCUGGGAGUAGUGAUCUGCACCAGUGCUCCCAACCAUACCAGAUACUUGGGGUGUCGUUCUUCCUUAGAUCUGAGAUCGAAGAGGUGAGUGCGAUUGGUCAGUUAUUCGUUGGCUGGUGACCAGUGAAUAUAUAGUUCUGCAGAUUAAUGAUUGUGUUUUGUCGGGCUAAAGUAGCUCUGACUUCGCUAGAUGAGAGGAAAAGAUGGUAUGUUGUGUGGUGUGGCUUAUAUUGGCCUGGUAGUGGUCAACAUGGAAUUCUAAUAUUCGCCAAUGGGUGUCUGUGAUUGUAUAAUUUGUAACUUGCAAUGGGUUCAAUUUCUGCAGUAAUAAGCUUGCAGCCACAGUAAUUGCAGCAGGCACCAGAAUACAGGAGGCAAGAACAGGUUUGAUUUUACAUAGCUGCAGAUAUGUUUAAGCUCUUACUUAGGUCCUUUCAUCUCUAUAUAACUGUCAACCAACAUUUACGCAUACUGAUGCUUUCUUGAGUUAUUUUUACACUGAAAAAUCAAACGACUGUUACGAAAUGUGAUGUGUUAAAUAUGCCACCAGCUGAGUUUUUCCUCUUUUGUCAUCUUUGACUGAUCAUUAUGCGUAAAUGUAGAAUACUGUUAUAAAGUUUUCUUUAAGUGGAUCAUUACUCUGAAGUUCCAUCAAUCUAUUAGAGCAUAACAGUUUGAGUUUUCUUGUUAGUGGAAGAUAUGUGCAAACCAGGUGUAACUACAAGGCUACACUCUAUUUGUUUCUUGUAAGAAUGCCUGCAUAAAUGAAUUGACACUCAAGUUGCAUUGUGGACAUCUAGUGGUGAUAAUUGCAUACUCCAAGCUUCUGAACUCUGAAUUCUCGUUGUUGCACAAUAUGAUUCUUGUAUAGCAGUAACUAUUGGCAAUUCUUUGUACUAUUUUCGGUUCGGUUCGAUUUGGUACCACAUUGUUCUCUGGGAUCUCUGCGCUCAUUGCCACAUUUUGGCUUUCACUGAGCAGAUCAAUUAAUUUCGGCUUUCACUUAGAAGACCAGUUUUGGCUUUCAUGUUUUGGAUUUAACUAUUGUUAUUUGAUGUCGACCUACCUGGUGUUCAAGGUAUCAACACUUUUUGAGUCCUAUUAAAUGAGCCCUGCCUAUUUUUUUUAUAUGUUGAUUGUUGAAUAAGAUAAGUCCUAUUAAAUGAGCCCUGCCUAUUCUUUUAUAUGGGUCCUUGCUUCAACAAUUGCUCCAGCACCCCAGUUGUGAUUUGUGAAAUAUUGAGUUGACAGCAGGAAGGCUUAUUAAGCUCUAUGUGAUAAGCCAUGUUGAGAAUGUUGAGAUGAUGCUCUCCAUCCUCCUGCCAGAUUGGAAGUCUGCGAAUGUCAUGGGAAAUAAUGCUGCAAGGCAAAUGGCAGCUUGAUGGUGACCUGGUAAGCAAUUUAUGAGCUCGCUGGUUUAAAUGGAUAGAUGAAGGAGAAAAGUGAUGUAAGUAGAUAUUAUAUUACUUAUCUGAUCUAAAAAUAGUAAAUGGGAUUUGGGGGAUUACUGUUCUGACAUUUUUUAUUAGGCUUGGGACGUGCCAUGAUUUGACUUUGUUUAUCCUGUCCAUAGCUUGACAGUGCUGAGAACGUCAUAGCUGUUGUCCAAUGGUAGUAAGUGUCAAAGUUAGAACGGAUGUACGGUUCCAAUUAAAACAUUCCAUCUGUACCCUUCUAUUAUCAAAUCUCUGCUCUUUCAUCUACUUCUAAUUUCUUGAGCUGUUCUCUUUUACAGCAAAUACAUUUCUCUUACAAUGGCUUUGGAUCAGGGAGGCUGAGGUGGUGGCAAUUAUUCCUUUUCCCCUGAUAAGUACUAGCAAGUAGCCCUCUUUUCUUUUGCCUAUUCUCAUGCCUGAAAAUAACAAACUUACUUUCAGAAAAGUAAUCAGUGGACAAAUUGAUUUGUGAUGGCUUUCUGAUACUGUUUACUGUUUUAUGGCAACUAGACACUUGAAUGAGAAGUAAUAAAUCAAGCCUAGAGUCUCCUGAACUACCGUAUCUUUUUUUUCGAAAGCAACUACCAUAUCUUUUGGUGCCAUGAAAGAGCUACACGCAUUUAGGUGCCCAAGGAUUGGUGCAGAAGAUUGAAGCUACAAGCAUGCUACUACUGAGGAACAUGCCUCUUGUGUCACAAAAGAAAGCAGCUUAUUACCUGCACUAGAUUUCCUAGGGGAUGGAGCCGUGUUUCUCAGACCUGAACUCCGAAGCUCAUUUUCUUGCAACGCCACAUUCAGUCCAGUUUUAAGUUUACUGAAAACCAAAUCGAAAGGACAGACUGCAUAAUGUGUUAUUGGCAUAUUCGUAAAAAAUGUGGUUUGAAGAUGUACACUAAACUAUAAGCACGUUUUCAUCAGAAAAAAAAAGAUAAGAGAAUCAUUGUCUCAA